rnacentral:rRNA from 1 species
UACGUAGGGUGCAAGCGUUAAUCGGAAUUACUGGGCGUAAAGCGUGCGCAGGCGGUUAUAUAAGACAGUUGUGAAAUCCCCGGGCUCAACCUGGGAACUGCAUCUGUGACUGCAUUGCUGGAGUGCGGCAGAGGGGGAUGGAAUUCCGCGUGUAGCAGUGAAAUGCGUAGAUAUGCGGAGGAACACCGAUGGCGAAGGCAAUCCCCUGGGCCUGCACUGACGCUCAUGCACGAAAGCGUGGGGAGCAAACAGG